GACGAACGCUGGCGGCGUGCUUAACACAUGCAAGUCGAACGGAAAGGCCCUGCUUUUGUGGGGUGCUCGAGUGGCGAACGGGUGAGUAACACGUGAGUAACCUGCCCUUGACUUUGGGAUAACUUCAGGAAACUGGGGCUAAUACCGGAUAGGAGCUCCUGCUGCAUGGUGGGGGUUGGAAAGUUUCGGCGGUUGGGGAUGGACGCGCGGCUUAUCAGCUUGUUGGUGGGGUAGUGGCUGACCAAGGCUUUGACGGGUAGCCGGCCUGAGAGGGUGACCGGCCACAUUGGGCCUGAGAUACGGCCCAGACUCCUACGGGAGGCAGCGGUGGGGAGUAUUGCCCAAUGGGCGGAAGCCUGAUGCAGCAACGCCGCGUGCGGGAUGACGGCCUUCGGGUUGUAAACCGCUUUCGCCUGUGACGAAGCGUGAGUGACGGUAAUGGGUAAAGAAGCACCGGCUAACUACGUG
rnacentral:rRNA from 1 species